rnacentral:lncRNA from 1 species
AGUCUGUGACAUAGAAAGCUAUUAGAAUUUUCCCCUACAUUGAAGCACUCAAAGCUAGGAGAUCAGCAAGCCUUCAAACAUUUGUGAUGACAACUUCUCUGGAAAUAUGAUGGUUGUUGGCAGUCUCAGCACCGAGGAGGCCAAAAAAGAACAAGAAUACAGCUUAAUUCAAGAAAACCAUUUAUUCAUGAUUCUACAGGCUACUUGCUGAAAACUAAGGAUAUAUCCCCACGCACCAUGUGGAAAGAAAAAGAACUGGAACAUGAUCACAUCUCUAAAAGACCCGGGAUCUAGCCUUGCCUGAAAUGUGUUUACAAGCCAGGAACCACGAAGGGGGACAUCUGAUCUUCAAAUCAAAGACAGAGAAACUGAAACAACAUGAGAACUAUGACAGGCCCAAGAUCAUGAGAACACCACUUGAACGUGAAAUAGAAUCAAUGUCUGUCUUCCCUACUAGCAAUCUUCCCUUAGAUCACAUUGUCAGUACAGUUCUCAAGUGACUCACUCUGUUGAUAAACUGAAAUAAUGCUGAAUUCCAUAUAAUUAUGCUAACCAAGCAAGAUUUAAUGACUAUGUGAUAUCUGUCCCUCCAGAGAUGUGACAGACAUGUCAUUAACUUUCUUUAGCAAAUUACUAAGCAGCAAUUCAAAAAGAGUGUAACUUGAAAUGCUGUACUUUGGAGUUGAUACUGUGAAUUGUGUAGUACAAUUUUCACUUUCUGCUUCCCAAAAGAUAACUGACAUGAGAAGGGAAAGAGUUGCCAAAACAGUCUGCAAACUGAUUAAAACAACAGUUCUAAUGAAAAAAGUCUGAAAAUAAAACUGACUUCUAAAGUUAAAGUCAAACUAAUGCUGAAAUCAAGAAGUAAAAACAACUUGCAAUUAGUGCCUUUUGUGGUAUACACUGAAUAUUGUACAUUUUUGGUUUUCAGAGAGGGAGACAGAGAGAGUGAGCUUGCACAUAAAAAGGAUAGGGGGAGAGAGAGAAUCCUCAAUCAGACUCCUUACUGAGCAGGGAGCCUGAUGUGGGACUUGAUUUCACAACCCUGAGAUCAAGACCUGAAUUGAAACCAGGAGUUGGACCGAAGGUAGAAACUUGGUUUCUCAUGCUAGACUCCGAGUUAUUUCUACACAAAGUAACUGUAUGACAGUGAGAAAUAGAAGUAUUUGAAACUUUAUCCACAUUAAGUCAUAGAAAUAAAUUUAGUGAAUGGCCUGACAGUUCUUGGAGAGUGUUUGAUUGUCAGACAGUAUGUUUGGACACAAUUGGAUAGAUUUUAAAUUAUCAGGAGUUUGUGAUUAUGCAAUAGGAUAAAUUAUAGUUAGAAGACAUGGAGUUUCACCGUUCACUGGUGAUCUCAGCUGUAUGACAACAGUCAUUAAACCUGGAAUGGUUUGUAAGGAAGCUACACAGAAAAGAGGCAUUUGUUAUCACAAAUGUAAAAUCCAAGCUUCAGCUAAUUUCAGAUGUAUUAUGAUGUACAAAUAAAUAUCUUAUGAUUAUUACAUCACUAAAAACAGUUAAUAAGUGCUUUGGAACGUGGGUGACAUCUCUAAGCCUGUAAAGGUAAACUGAAAUUAGUAAACCUUAAACUGAAAUUAAUUAACUUUGAGCCAAAAUUAGUAAUUUUGUAUAUUCAUAGAAAGUUUAAAAAUUAUCCAUGCACUUUUAAUGGCAGCAAAAUGUAUGGAAGGUGACAUGGUGAAACGGAAAGAAUAUAGGAACAAAAGAUAGGAAAUUGGAAUUCUACUUGGCUGGACAUGUGACCUGCUCCCUGCAUAAAAUGUUGAUAAGUAUUACAAUUGUAAGUGAAAAUAAUAAAUGUAUAAAAUGCUAUGCAAACUUAAAACAUGAUUAUGUCAGGAAAAUUUAAUGUCUCAUUAGCACGUGUAGUUUUAUUUUAAUUACCUAAAUUGAUGUUUAUUCCUAUUUUUCUUUGAAUUAUAAUUGUUUUAUCUAUUUUCAAGAAUAUUCUCCAAAAAGAAACACAUUGUUUUCUACCAGUUGAUACAUUUAUAGAGAUUUAUCUCAAAUACACCGUUUGAAAGGAAUGACUGUUAGAUGAGUUAGUUGUACCCGCUCACAUAGUCCAAAUGGAACAAUGAAGUGUUACUACUAGCACAAGUCCUAGCAAGCAUAUCAAUUUGCUGAUUGGUGAAAAACACAGCUUGGUACAGGUAAACUUUUGCAUUUCUUAUACCUAUCAUCUUACAAUACUGUGGGAAUUUGGACUGGCAUUUAGUAAAUUGUUCCCAAUAAGUGUUUUUAAAUUUUCAAUUAUAAAUAAAA